UUGAAGGCUGUGAUGUUGAAAACUACCUAUUUUAUGAGGGAAAGGUAAAUUGUUCCUUCGUGAUUACAUAAACUACCAAUGGAUCCUACUGAGCCUUCA
rfam:Glycine max cultivar Williams 82 chromosome 19, whole genome shotgun sequence.